GUCUACGGCCAUACCACCCUAAACUCACCUGAUCUCAUCUGAUCUCAAAAGCUAAGCAGGUUUGGUUAGUACGUGGAUG
ensembl:rRNA 5S_rRNA 5S ribosomal RNA